ACGGUAGCACAGAGAGCUUGCUCCUCCGGGUGACGAGUGGCGGACGGGUGAGUAAUGUCUGGGAAACUGCCUGAUGGAGGGGGAUAACUACUGGAAACGGUAGCUAAUACCGCAUAACGUCGCAAGACCAAAGAGGGGGACCUUCGGGCCUCUUGCCAUCAGAUGUGCCCAGAUGGGAUUAGCUAGUAGGUGGGGUAACGGCUCACCUAGGCGACGAUCCCUAGCUGGUCUGAGAGGAUGACCAGCCACACUGGAACUGAGACACGGUCCAGACUCCUACGGGAGGCAGCAGUGGGGAAUAUUGCACAAUGGGCGCAAGCCUGAUGCAGCCAUGCCGCGUGUAUGAAGAAGGCCUUCGGGUUGUAAAGUACUUUCAGCGGGGAGGAAGGUGUUGUGGUUAAUAACCGCAACAAUUGA
rnacentral:rRNA from 1 species